ACGCUGCAUUACGCUAUUCAUAAUUUUUCCCGCAAAAGUUUGCAAAAAUGUUGGGCCUUUUUGCGUAUUGCCAAUAAGAUUUUUGCAAAUCUUCUGGCGGUAUAGAGGAGAUCAUGUGACAAUGAGAGUAUCCAAUAGUAGACAAGUAUGGAGAAUGCUGGGUGUGGGGUAGAGUAGAUAGCGUGGUGGUGCCUAGUUUAGUUCAGUCCUACACUAAUUCACGUUACUAACAGAUAGGAGGAGUGUAUAUAUAUUUAUAUUAGCUGUGAACUGUUGUUGAUGCUGUUGAAUUGGAUUAAAGUGAAGUUUAUAUAUUUGACAACAUCAACAGAUUAUGUACGAUGAGUGAUGUUGGUCACCAGGGAAAUUCUUUGUGAUAAAUGCAGUACCUGAUCUACAUAUUGUAAAUACAGACUUACAGAGAGUUAAGAAUGGAGCGCGAACCUGGUCAGAGUAGUUCCUCCCCAGACGUUGGACACGAUGGGAGCCAGGGGGAGGGGGGGAAGGGGCGCGGUCGCCCUGCUAGGGGUGUAGACUUUCCUCUUCGUAUACUUGUAUCCAGUGAUAUGGUUGGAGCUAUUAUAGGACGGGGAGGAGCAACAAUCAGAACCAUUACUCAAGAAACCAGAGCAAGGGUUGAUGUUCACAGUCGUAGGAAAAUGGAGCCCGCCACCGGUCAACUUGGACAGCUGGAAAAAGCUAUCACCGUGUACGGUCAGCCUGAGAACUGCAGUGCUGCGUGUAAACGGAUCCUGGAGGUGAUGGAGGAGGAGGCGAAGAGUGUUGGGAAGGAGCAGGAGAUUUGUCUCAAGGUUUUGGCGCACAAUAAUCUUAUCGGAAGAAUCAUAGGAAAACAGGGCGCAACGAUAAAGAAAAUAAUGGAGGACACUAGUACAAAAAUUACAGUGAGUUCAAUAUCUGACGUUUCCUCCUUUAACCAAGAACGUGUGAUUAGUAUCAGAGGAACUAUACCCAGCAUUUCUAAAGCUGAAGCAGAGGUUUCCAGUAAGCUACGUGUUGCAUAUGAGACGGAUCUGCAAGCUAUGACUCCGCAAUCUAUGAUGUUCCCAGGACUCCACCCCGCAGCUAUGAUGUCUACUGUUGGAUUGGGAAACCAGCAACAAUACAGAGGUUCCGGGUUCUCUGGAGCUAGUGGACCUCAUGGAGUUAACUCCCGUCCUCCUAACCCUCCCCAGAUACCGCCUGAAACCUGCUACCUCUACAUACCAAAUGCUGCGGUUGGUGCUGUCAUAGGAACUAAAGGGAGUCAUAUUCGAAAUAUCAUAAAAUUUUCUGGAUCUACCGUGAAAAUAUCUCCGGCAGAUGAGGAGUCUGGUCCUCUCCCCCCUCUCCAAGAGGGACAGGGAGCUCCAGGUGCCGAGGACACCCGGAGGAAGGUUAUUGUAGUUGGGAAUCCUGAAUCCCAGUGGAAGGCUCAGUAUCUAAUCUUCGAGAAGCUGAGAGAUGAAGGGUUCUGCUCCGGAGUAGAGGAUGUCAAGCUUACAGUGGAAAUCAUGGUUCCUUCAGCGCAGGUUGGACGAAUUAUUGGUAAAGGAGGACAAAAUGUCCGAGAGAUGCAGAGACUGACUGGAGCUAUUAUUAAACUACCAGAACAGGGGACAUCAACUGGAGAGGAAACCAGCGUUCAUAUCAUCGGAUCCUUCUACGCAACUCAGUCUGCUCAGAGGAGGAUUCGAGCCAUGGUUACUGGACCUCUCAAUCAACCUCUACUACCUAAUGGAGGAGGUAAUCAUGAACCUCCUCUACCCUGAGAACCUAAACCUUGAGGGAGGUGGAGCCCCCUGCUCCCCUGCCCUCCAGAAACUGUUCCAACCUCGGCCAUUAAACCAGAUUUUUAAAGCAUCGUAAAUAUUUCUUGUUAAAUUUUUCUUCCGAAUCAUCAGAUUUUAAUAUGAUAAAUGGAUUUUUCAAACUCCACAUGAUCCUGGGAAGAAUUAAACGCAUGCUUUCAACUGCAUACGCAUUCGAAUGCACGUGACCUCAUUGUGAGACUGAACCAAAUCUGAACUGUGAAGAACCUACCAGGGGUUCAGCACUAGGAUUAGAUUGGAUUAUUGUACCUCGGCCCAAAGAAUGAUAAGACUGCCUCUCCUGCGAUUGUAACCUAAAGACUGGAAUCACCUUGUUAUGUAUAGCAAACUCAAAACCAGUUUCUUUUAUCAUGUUUACAAAUCCUUCAUAUGUAUACGACAUGUUAUGUAACUUUUUUAUUUUCUUCAAAACCAGUUUCUUUUUUCAUGUUUACAAAUCCUUCAUAUGUAUACGACAUGUUAUGUAACUUUUUUAUUUUCUUCAAAAACCUAGUGGUAAAUUAAAAAAAACUUUUUUAAUAAAAUAUUUGUAAAGUUUGAACUGUGUCAGAAUUUGUAAUAGUUUUAAGUUUAUUAUUGUGGAAUAUGGCACGUUUGAUUUAAUAAUAGUUUAUCAGCGAAUCUAUUUGUCAUUUAAUUACGAUACAAGUGCUAGAUAAUUUAAAGGAAACUUGGAUUUUUUAAUAGUAAUAAUCUGAAAAAGUUUCUUCGUUUUAUAAACAUUAUCAAUAUUCAGAGUUAUAUAGUUUACCACCAACCCUUCAGUUUUCACGAACUAGAAUUUCUCAUCUCUCUUAAUACUUUUUGGUCAAUUUUAAACUUUUCUCUGUUUUCUCAAACCUCCCAACCAUCCUUUUUUUUAAAUAAACUGUUAAACAAUCUGAAGGGUUGGCCAAUAUGCCAUAUGUAUCAAUAAGUUAAAUAGUAUUGGUGUUUGUUCUUGUUUAAAAUUAAUCUGUUCUGGUUUAAGAGGCCGGGCGACGGGUUGCCUCCGGGCGCGGUUCAUAUUUAAGAAAAAUUUUGAUGCUUGCUAUGAUUAUUUUUGCUACGAAGGAUUAUUUGAAAUAAAAAGUAAAAAUAUU
rnacentral:misc_RNA from 1 species